rnacentral:rRNA from 1 species
AUUGAACGCUGGCGGCAUGCCUUACACAUGCAAGUCGAACGGCAGCGCGGACUUCGGUCUGGCGGCGAGUGGCGAACGGGUGAGUAACGCAUCGGAACGUGCCCUGUAGUGGGGGAUAACUCUCCGAAAGGAGUGCUAAUACCGCAUAUACUGUGAGCAGGAAAGCAGGGGACCUUCUGGCCUUGUGCUAUGGGAGCGGCCGAUGUCAGAUUAGCUAGUUGGUGGGGUAAAGGCCUACCAAGGCGACGAUCUGUAGCGGGUCUGAGAGGAUGAUCCGCCACACUGGGACUGAGACACGGCCCAGACUCCUACGGGAGGCAGCAGUGGGGAAUUUUGGACAAUGGGGGCAACCCUGAUCCAGCCAUGCCGCGUGAGUGAAGAAGGCCUUCGGGUUGUAAAGCUCUUUCGGCCGGGAAGAAAUCGCCAUCUCUAACAUAGGUGGUGGAUGACGGUACCGGAAUAAGAAGCACCGGCUAACUACGUGCCAGCCGCCGCCGUAAGAC